rnacentral:rRNA from 1 species
UUGAACGCUGGCGGCUGCUUAACACAUGCAAGUCGAACGGAGUGGCGAACGGGUGAGUAACGCGUGAGCAACCUGCCUAUGACAGUGGGAUAGCCUCGGGACACCGGGAUUAAUACCGCAUAGUCAUAGAUGGGCUCGCGUCUGAUUAGCUAGUUGGGGAGAUAACAGCCCACCAAGGCGAAGAUCAGUAGCCGGUAUGUGAGGAUGAACGGCCACAUUGGAAGUGAGACACGGUCCAAAAUCCUACGGGAGGCAGCAGUGGGGAAUAUUGCACAAUGGGGGAAACCCUGAGGCAGCGACGCCGCGUGAACGAAGAAGGUAUUCGUAUCGUAAAGUUCUGGCCUAUGGGAAGCAGUACCAUAGAAGAAAGCUCCGGCUAAAUACGUGCCAGCAGCCGCGGUAAUUC